rnacentral:misc_RNA from 1 species
GAUGAAGAACGCAGCGAAAUGCGAUACUUGGUGUGAAUUGCAGAAUCCCGUGAACCAUCGAGUCUUUGAACGCAAGUUGCGCCCGAAGCCAUUAGGCCGAGGGCACGCCUGCCUGGGCGUCACACGUCGUUGCCCCCCCAUCUACUCCUUCGGGAUUGCGGGGGGCGGAUGAUGGCCUCCCGUGCGCCUCGUCGCGCGGUUGGCAUAAAUGCCAAGUCCUCGGCGACACACGCCACGACAAUCGGUGGUUGCGAAACCUCGGUUGCCCGUCGUGUGCGGUCGUCGCGCAUCGAGGGCUCGAAAAAAUUGCCGGGCUCCGGCUCGGCUUUCAACGCGACCCCAGGUCAGGCGGGGUUACCCGUUGAAUUUAAGCAUAUCAAUAAGCGGAGGA